rnacentral:rRNA from 1 species
AACGAACGCUGGCGGCAGGCUUAACACAUGCAAGUCGAACGGGCACCUUCGGGUGUCAGUGGCAAACGGGUGAGUAACGCGUGGGAACGUACCCUUCGGUUCGGAAUAACCCAGGGAAACGUUAGGGCGUAACACCGGAUACGUCCGCAAGGAGAAAGAUUUAUCGCCGAAGGAUCGGCCCGCGUCGGAUUAGCUAGUUGGUGGGGUAAGUGGCCCACCAACGGCGACGAUCCGUAGCUGGUCUGAGAGGAUGAUCAGCCACACUGGGACUGAGACACGGCCCAGACUCCUACGGGAGGCAGCAGUGGGGAAUAUUGGACAAUGGGCGAAAGCCUGAUCCAGCCAUGCCGCGUGAGUGAAGAAGGCCUUAGGGUUGCAAAGCUC